UAUAGCGUCUGUAAACUGGCAUUCUCUCACCAACUUAUUAUUUUUUUCAGUAUACACUUUUAAACUACUCUGUCUUGAAGAUAUCAGAAUCAUUUGACUGUUUCCAGGAUUAUAGAUCAUGGACUACAUUUCCCAGCAGCCACUGCAUUUUGAUGUCCUCAUCACAUGACCUAAUCACACACACCUGUUACAUGUGAUUAGGCACACACUGCCCUUAAAUUUUUUUUCUUGUGUUUGUCUUCCAUGGUUGUUGUUAGUCUUGCUACAAAUUAUGACGCUCUUGUUCAUAUGUUUGUCUGACCUGAAGGUCACCUGUGGCGCAGCAUUAAUCCCUGUGUUAAUACAGCAGAGGAGACACAAGAGCUGGACCUCUUUUGGAGAAAGUCGUUUAUCUGUUGUUAAACAUUUUUACUUGCUUUUAAAACAUUUUACCUUCUUUGCACAAACUUUGAUCUGUGAGACCCAAAUGUAAAAAUUUUUGGAUGGAUUUGGAUUUUUUUUGGACAUUAUGGAUUCCAACGUAAUUUCUAUCAGCAAUUAUAGUCACAAUACAUUUACAGAAAUUUAAUUUUUUUCUAGUCAAGUCCAAUAUUAAAUAUGUAUAUAUGUUUGUAUGUAUGUAUGUAUGUAUGUAUGUAUGUGUAUUAUUGAUUUGGACAUACAUAAACAUACCCAGUGCAUCAUGCAGGGAAAUAGGACUAAAUUGGAUUAAAAUUGUAACAAAUAUAAAUAGAAUAGACAGACAAAAUUUUAUUAACAAUAUAAUAAAAUGGAAUACAACUACAAAAAAUAUUGUGAAAAAUAAGACAUGUCUGACAGAGCUGUCAGCUCAUCCUUCAAAUUAAAUCAUCUGCAUUCUUUUACAAAUCAACUCAGAAUAUAAUUUAAAAAACAAUAAAAGAAUCAUCUACAUCAUGAACACACAUGAUUCCUAUUUAGAAUGGCCUCAAUUCAAAAUCUUGUGGUUAUAUUAGGUUUUGUGCCCAAGUAACCGUCUGAGUAUGAUGAGCUGUGUUAUGUUUUGCCUUGUUGAAUAAUGAAUCUGGAAGACGUAUUUGUACUGACUGUGAUUAUUACACUUUUCACUUUGUCUUUAUAAAGUACUUUGAGUAGAAUAAUAGAGAGAAAAUCUAUUUGAACAAUAGUAGUAUCAUCCCACAACAUAAAAUUUAAACAAGUGGGGUCUGAAUACUUUCCGAUUGCACUGUAUAUAUAUAUAUAUUGUCUAAGCUCCACCGGCUUCGCCUGGUCUCGGCACCCCACCCAUAUAGAGCGCCUCUCCUGUGUACUAACUAUACACACCUGAACCUCAUUCACGAGGCCUACUUAAGGACCUCAGCCCGCCUAUGGGGCGUCCGUUAUUGCACGUUGUGCCUAGAGAACUCUCGAACUCUGUAUUCAUCGUGUGAACCGUGCCUCUCCUCAGGCCCACCACGGAUAUUGCCUUCAUGACUCGGUAUUUGUUUUGGACUUUGUGGGCCUCACCGCCGUCCGGUGUACCACAGAUUAUCUCCUUCCCGUUUCACUUCCCGAGCAAACUCUCCGCUGUCUUAUGUUUUCUGAAUAAACUUGUUUCAUCUA